CCACUGAGCCAUCUAAAAAGCCCAGGGAUGAAACACCUCAGCAACAGCUGAAGAGGCAAGCAUGUCCCUUCUCCAUCAAAUGCUCACCAAAAAAGGGGAAAGACAGCAGGUACACCUUUGAGGGUUGAACAUUGCACAGACACUAGUUCCCCAGAAGCCAACAAAUGGGUUGUAGUCACUUGGAACAUGACCAGCGCAUGUGUAUCUAUGCGCACCAAGGUGUGGGUUUUCAAAGGUUAUUACACCCUGGCUGGUGAGACCAAAGAGGAGCUAGAGGCACCCACGGUUCCCAGACCCGACCGCAUGACCCAUGGACAGGACCAAGAAAGACCUCUAUGGGAAACCCUGGAGAAACAUGCGCACCCAGAAAAAAAACCAAGAAUACUUGAUGGAACAAGCCAGAUUCCUAUUCUUCAGUAUCACUCAGUUCUGAAACCUUGGUUGAGUCCCAAGACAAGAGUGCCUCUGAGCACAUGCAAAGUCUUUCUUUCAUGGCCCCCGGUCUCCGCUCUUCUGCCAACUCAGCAUCUAGGGGUGCAGCUUGUCGGAUGUGGUUUCUCAGGCAGGCCUCCAGUCCUGACCUGGUCGAGUUUCACAAAUGAAUUACGGCGCGCCCCUCGUUGCCAGGAUUUGGAGCGCUGUUCUGGUAGAAGCGCCAAAAGAUGGGCGGGGAGCGCACGGCUCUUAUCGUUUCUCUUCUUGCCCCACCAGUCCCCUCCUAUGGGGUGGCGCCUUGCUGGGGCAGUUCCUCGGCCUUUCAGUCCUCUUGCCCUGGUCAUCGGGGGCAAAUGGGUUCCCCUGGGAGAAGACGAUGGUGGCGUACUCGGUCUGGUCCAGGGGGGACCGCCUAGGAAGGGGAGGUGGGGGAGCUUUCUUUGGGUUCUCCCUGGUGUGGAAUUCCAGCACUUCAUAAUCCACGGUGAAGAUGGCCGUGGAGGGAGGCGCCUCUUCUUCCUUUGGAAAAAUCGAGAGAGGAAGGGUUUCACCAACCGGCAGGCAAUGCUUCCCAUGGCUUUCAUGGUUCAGAUGAUGAGGGGGGAUGAUUUGAAUAGUUUUAUGGCUCUGAUUGUUUUUAAUUUGUUUAAUGGUGUUUUAGGGGAAAGGCAGGUUGUGCGUGGA
rnacentral:lncRNA from 1 species